rnacentral:misc_RNA from 1 species
GUGAAUCAUCGAAUUUUUGAACGCAAAUUGCACUCUCCUCGGAGAGUAUGCCUGUUUGAGGGUCAGCCUAUAAAAAUCGACAUCGUUGCUGUUUUAUGGUGACUUUCGUCGGAGAUGGGUUAUCUUGAAUCUCGGUUUAAGCGACUUAAAAAUUUUUUUACGAUUCUAAGAAUGUUUCUAAGAUUUUUCUUGUACGUUUAAGGUAUCUAAUGUCUUAUUAGACGUGGCUGUCAUAUCGGAUCGUGUCCAUACUUUUUUUCGUUAACUGACCUCAGACAGUUACGAGUACCCGCUGAACUUU